rnacentral:rRNA from 1 species
UACGUAGUUAGCCGGCGCUUUUUCUGCAGGUACCGUCACUUUCGCUUCUUCCCUGCUAAAAGAGGUUUACAACCCGAAGGCCGUCAUCCCUCACGCGGCGUUGCUGCAUCAGGCUUGCGCCCAUUGUGCAAUAUUCCCCACUGCUGCCUCCCGUAGGAGUCUGGGCCGUGUCUCAGUCCCAGUGUGGCCGGUCACCCUCUCAGGCCGGCUACCCGUCGACGCCUUGGUGAGCCAUUACCUCACCAACAAGCUGAUAGGCCGCGAGCCCAUCCCCAACCGAAAUUCUUUCCAGACGCAGACCAUGCGGUCACGUCACAUAUCCAGUAUUAGACGCCGUUUCCAGCGCUUAUCCCAGAGUCAGGGGCAGGUUGCUCACGUGUUACUCACCCGUUCGCCACUGAUCCACCCAGCAAGCUGGGCUUCACCGUUCGACUUGCAUGUGUUAAGCACGCCGCCAGCGUUCAUCCUGAGCCAGGAUCAAACUCU